CCGAGUUAUUAAUAGUGAUUUUCUGAAGUUUUGAGAUUUUAAAAAUUAAUAAAGAAAAAAGGAGGAAUUUGUGCGGUACGAUCUGGGCCAUUAAAAUACCCACCGCCUUCAUCGUAGCCGUCCAAAUUCAAUUAUUGGAGAGGCUAUAUAUAGGAUCAAAUCAGGUCAAACAUUGGUAGACCAUGAUAGAAGCUUUUGGGCUUCUGACCCGCGAGCACGACCUGAAAACCCGGAAAGAGAAUCCGACCGGCGUUCCACCGUCCGGCCAUCUCUCGGCGACAGACCACUUGCGUUCGAUCCCUCUCUUCAGUGCGGACAUCUUUCUAGUGGUGGAUUAUACCAUCGGCGACGAUACGAGGCUCAUGAAGCUUGAAGUUUUUCAGUGGUUUCGCGGCGAUUUCUGGCGGCCGAUUUAACUGCAUGAGCUCUAAACAACAAGAACAUGCCUCCAUGCGCGUUGCUUCUCACGUCGCUCUCUCAACGCGUGGCAACCGGCUUGCUUAGGUCAAGAAUUCGGUCAGGAGCUUUGCCUUUUUCUUGGCCUGGGUCAUGAAAGCUCAAUUUGAAGCUGAUCAAGAGACCAGCGGUGGAAGCAACUUUUUCUUCCAUUUCAAUCACCACCUCAGCUUGCCCAGGUGGAGACCGGUCAAGAGAGCACCGGUGAACUUGCUCUUAGUGUGUCAUGGUCAGAAAUUUAGUCACCAAUAUGGUGCCCUAUGAGGAUGUCCAUAAGCUAUAUUUAGCUGUGGAUGGUCUUGUUGGAGGUGGUGGUGGAGGGUCUUGCUGUGAGUCUUCACGUUACUCUUCCUCCCCCAUUGUCACUCUCCUUGUUGUUAGGCUGCAUAAGUCAUCACGUGGUAGAAAUUCUGCUGUAAUUCCCAAAUAUUUGGUUCUUGUUUAAUAAAAAAUUUAACUUAAUUAAAUAAAAAAA